UGCUCAGGCGCCGGGGAAGGGGGACUCCGCGACCCCCGCCGCCGCUAGGUCCGGAGUGCGUGCCGGUGCCGGGGCUGUCCCGCCACCCGCCGCUGCGACUCGGUUGUGGGGGUCCGGCCAUCAUUCGGAGAAACCGGCUUAGCCUGCCCUCUGCACCUGUCUCGGGCCCCUCCCUUCUUUGCAGGCGUGCCCUGUUCUGUUCCCCUCUCUCCACUGUGCCUUGGCACUAAGGGCUUGGGCGCUGAAGUGCUGCCCCUCUCUGUUCGACACUGCCCGGGCCUGUGUCUUGGAAUGGUCGGCAACCCUUCACCCCCCCCCCUCCAUUCACGCGCUCCCCGCGUUGCCGCUUCACUGAACUCUGACGGCUUGAGUUAUUGAUUAACCUGGAUUGAGAACUCAAGCCCUUCUGUGUGUUGAGCGGAGGAGAAUGCAGUCUGUUGGGGUGCAGCCGGGCAUUUGGAAACUUGCAGGGGUAAAUCCUUACCGUGAAAGAAGAGACAGGGGAACCAGGGGGAAAGAGCCGUGGGCAGUCUAGAUUUCUGGGGUCAGUGACCGGCCAGAGGCCCACACCGCGUGGGGGUGGGGCAGAGGCCGGUGUGGACCAGUCACUCCCCUGAGCGUGGGGCCUCCUGGAGUGGCAGGUUAGAAUGUUCCCAUGGUGUGUGCAGUGGCCCUUAGGUGGGAUUUUCCACCCUGCCCAGGCAUGUGCCCUGGGCUUGGGUUUCCAUGGUCUGGGUAGCCUGCACCUGCUGUCCCUCCUUGGUUCAAUCCAUCACACACGCAGAGUCCUUGUGUAGGCUGGGCUGCACCUCAAGGGACCAGGAGGAGGGGGAUCAGAUUAGCCCUUGCCCCUGGAUGUCCCAGCCUGGGUGGGAGAUGGCCCAGACCAAGCCGUAGCAGCAGUGCAGGCAGCCGGACAGCAGUCCCGUCCUAGUGGGCGUCUCAGGCCGGCUUUGUGCUGGAGGUUUAGGGUCUGCUGCUGCUAGUGCAGGGGCGGGUGUAGGGGGCUGUGCCUAGAGCCUCUAAGGGCCUGAAAGGACUCAUUGACCAGAGGGACCCUGGUGGGUAUGAGAGUGGAAGAGCGAGUUGUAAAGGCCCCCGGAUGCUGGGCCAGGGAGUUGGGCUUUGCUUUGGGGUGGAGGUCUCAUCUGCAUGUGGAGGCAGCUGUCCAAGUUUUAGAAAACUACUCUUGGAGUCACACAUGAAUACGUAUACGUACACGAAUCCACGCGUUCAUGUGAGAGAUGUGUCUUCAGUCGUCUAACAGUUUUUCAGUGGGAAUUGGCCAAUGUGGGGUAAGCUAGUUCUCUGGGUUAUGGGGAUAGUGGGGCACUGGGCAGGGGACAGACAGGGUCCUCCUUGUAUCUGACAAGCGCCCUCAAGAAUGGAUGGCAGGUUGGAGGGUGGCUGGAGAUAGGGGGACUUAGUUGUGAUGGUCCAAGAAGAGACGACGGCCAUAGCAGGAGCAGCGCUGGGGAGCGGGAGAGCUGGGGUGCCUUGGACGGAGAUCUCCAAGGGGGAAUCAUCAGGGUGAGAUGGUCUUUGGAUAUGAGCAGGGGGGCAGAGAGCGAAGCCCUGCCGGGGGACUACUGGGGCACAGAUGUGGUGGAGAUGCCAGUUUCCGUCUGGGUUGUGCUGAGGGUGUGGGGCUGUGGGACAUCCAGGUGAAGCUGUCCUGGAGCAGAUGGAGUCACAGAUCUGGUGGGCUGAGAGUAGCCAAGGCCAGAGGUUAGGGAGAUAUCAGGCCAGAGCUGGUGGUUGAAGCAAGAUCAGGUGAGGCCUUCCAGGCAGCUGUGCAGGAGACGGUGAGUCAGGAGCCCUGGGCAGAGGCUGAGGAGCUGCCAGGGAGCUCAGAGGCUCUGGAAAGCCCACUCUUAGACAUCGAGAGAGGGGACCCCUUCAGGAAGAAGAGAUUGGGGGUCAGCGGGAAUGCUGCAGCCCGCUGGAGGUUGAGGAGGGAGACACGGCUGGGGAGUAGGUUCUGGAUUUCAGAAGGCCUGGGAGGAGGAGGGACAGCAGGCGUAGUUGAGCACUGCGGGUGGAGGACGCUCAAGGUGUCCAGUGGGGUCGGACGGACACUCUGCAGCCCCUGAGCACCAGCUCCCUGGGCCUGAGGCCGCUUCCCCCGCCCGACCAGAGGCACUGCUCCCCACUUCUCUUGCAGCCCACCUCUCAGGGGUGCGGGCACGGGCUCGCAGCCAGUUUCUGGCAGUGAGGGGUGCUGCACAGAGUUAUCCACAUGUUCUUGCUCGUGGGCUGUGCCUGGCAGCUUGUGAUCGGACACUGGAUUGUGAACAAGGAAUCGGGGCUCCGGGGCAAGACUGGACAGUCACAGCUGGGUGCCGGGGCUGUCUGACCUCUCAUACGCCUGUGUCUGUGCCCCCAGGGGGUCUGGGUGUGAGGGUCUCAUCCACACACGAGAGCCAGUGCUGGCGAUGGUCAGGCAUUGCGGGGGCUGGUGUUACACUGCCCCUCUGUAACCAGCAAUGAGACUUAGAGACCCUUUGCUGAGACCCAUUUGUUUCCUUCUGAUUCAGUCGGGACUGCGGGGCUUGGAGGUGGGGCAUAGUCAACCUAUGUAUAUGCCUUGGGGUCAAUGCAGAAUGAGUUGAUCUAGUAAUCUGCUUCUGUGUGGGCAGACCUUGAGCUUGCUAGGCAGUGAGUAGUAAGGGAGGCUCCUGGAGGAGCGAGAGGGCAAGGCAGUAGGGUGGGAGAAAUCAGGGAGGACUCCCUGUAGGAGGCCUGAGACCCUGGAGCAAACAAGAACUGCUUUUGUUGCAUUUUCUCUGAGGCCUUGGGGACAUCUCUCAGUUGGACCUCAGUUUCCUCGUCUCUAAGGGGGAUUGGCCCUGCCCUGCUUUGCCCCUUGUGCUGCGUGGGCUGGGUGGCUAUAACGGUGACAUCAGCCAAGUUGGCUUGUAAGCAUGUCCACAGAGCCACAGCGGUGGUCUGACUAGUGGAGGGAGCUGGCUGGGGACCUUCAGUGGAUGGUAGCAGCCUGAGGCCAGGCCUGGAAAUGUCCCUCGGCUGAGCAGGAGCCACCAGGUCCCCAUGUCAGAGGCAGUGGAGCCUCUCAGGAGUGACUGGCAGAAGCAGCGUCGAGGUCUGACCGUGAAAGAAACCAGACUUGCCUUAUCUGCCUUCCUUUCCCAGACACACUGUGUGAUAAGAGUGCUAAAUGCUUUGGGGAGAAGUUUGAAAUGAGUCCUUAAAACCAUGGUGUGAGCUGGGAGGAGGCAGAGGGUGGAGGAGGCAGAGGGUGGGGCAGCCGAGGUUGGGGCUCAGGCUGGGGCUCAGGCUGGGGACUCUGGCCGCACACACAUCGGGGGCUGUGCUGGGCACACAGACGCUCCCCUGUCCAUGCACGAGCCCGUGUGGGGUCUGGCAGCACCAGGGAUGCCCAAACUAAGAUUCCUGCCCUCACAGCAGUGUAUGCAAACUUCCCCAGGGAGAGGGUCGCCGAACUCGGACUUACCCAUCCCCAGUCUCUCUUCCUGACAUUCCCAGGCCUGGGCUCCCUCCUGGAAGCCUCCCCCUUCUUAAAACAAAGCCCAGAGCUUGAAGGUGCUCAAGCCAGCUUCCCAGGACCCAUCCCGUCCUCUGGGCUCUCCAGUGAUUUUAUCUUGGCCCCAGCACACAGAGGUCCCCUCCCCUGGUUUCCUUUCCUGUGGCUGAAGGGAAGGAAGGAGCUGGGGGCCCUGUGGGUGGGCUUGGGGACCACGGCCCAGCCCAGCUCUGUGGCUUGAGGCUCAGGUCGCGCUGGGGUGGAUACCCCACUCUCCCCACCCCACUCCCUGGGCCUCACAAGUUUGUCUUGAGUUGUCCUUCCUGCUCUUGGAAGGCAUGAGUGCUUUGUGAACAGAGAAACCCCAGCCUGACUCUGCUUCUGCCUCUAGUCAUGGCGUAAGGUUAGGGGUGACCCCCAAGCUUGUGUGGUGGGAUGGAGGGUGGUCUCUGAAUAGCCCUUUGGUCUGAGGCGUGGUUGGAGCCCGUUCCUUAGGUGAGCAGUUGUUCCAGUCCUGGAGUGGGGGAUGUGGGAGGAGGGGCAGGGGGAACCUGGGACUCCAGCCUCCCAGCAUGACUCAGCCCCCAUCCCCUUUCCCUCCUGCUUUGCUGGAGACCCCUUGGCAGGAAUCCACCUGGUCCAGAACCUACUUCCUGUCUGAUUGUGGCUUCUGGUCCCCUGGGGCAUCCUGGGAGGUGAGGGGCCUGCAACGUGCAUGGGCAGGCGUCCCCCAGAGAGACCCACAUUCCUGGGAAAAUGGUUUCACCAUCAGCCCAUCUCUCCAGGCCCCUGUGUAGACCUGUGGAACCUGUCGGACCAGAGUAUGGGGGGGUGGAGGGGGACACGGCCCCCAGAGCUGAGAGCCUGGUGACAGGUGGGGUCCGGGAUUCAGGAUAGGCUGGCUGUUUCUCCUCCUUCUGCUGAGCUGGCUUCAGGUUAGGCUCGUUGUGGCUCUAGGGGUGCCCUCCACACUCUGAGGCACAAGGAGAUGGCCGCCCUCAACUUCUCCACUGUUCCUGCCAGUGAGCCUAGCCCUUCCUGCUCCGUCCUUCUGAAUUGGAAGUUGAAUGGUCACCUCCUCUCCAAGCCCAGUCUCUCCCCGGGCUCAAGUCCCGUCCUCUCCUUUCUCCCCAGGGUCCCAACCUCUCCGAGUGUCCCUCCCCCUGCUGGAGCCUUUCUCUCAGCCUGUAAACGUUGUCCUACCUCUUCCAUCAGGGAGAGUCCCUCAGACCUCUUCCCCGCGCCUCAUGGCUGCAGUUCCCACCAACCCCACCCCCCCAGGUCACGUCAGCCAGGCCCAAAGCCCCUGCCUAGAAGAGGUGUGAUGUCUCCCCCUCCUCCACAUUCACUUACUCCCUGCAAACCUUGGAAUCCCUUUUGCCCUCCACUCCUUCACUGCCCCAUCUCUCCUCCCUGGGUCCCUACCCAGGAGUAGGGAGGUACCUGGCCAUCUGGUCACCCCCUUCCAUGCCACUGUCUCACUGGCUUCUGAAGGAUGUUCCUAAAACCCAGAACUGAUGACCUUCAGUUCCUUCUUGUCCAAGGAGUCAUGUCCGAGUUCUCCCGGCUGGCACCUUGGACUGUGUACUGCUUCUCUAGCCACUGGAUCUGAAUGCUUUGUGCCUUGAUGUCUCUGGCAGACACUAGUCUCUCUGCGGGGCAUGGCUUCCACUCCUGGUCUGCCUGGCUCACUCCAGGCUGGCUCAGCCCCGCUGCUUCUGGGAGGCUCUCUCUGACCCCCUGGGCUGGGUGAAGUCUGUCUCAGGCGUGCGCCCUCAUGCUAGCCUUUCGCCGCCUGCUCAAGGUGCUGGCUCCCCCGCCAGACUGAUUCCCCCAUGGAUGGGUAGGGUGGCAUGGAUGAGCCGUCGGGGGCCAGGGAUGGGCUUUUGUCAUUUGGGAACCUAGCAGACAAGGGGACCCAUCUGGAGAUGUGCGGCCAUCUAAGGAGAGGUAUGGCCAACCUCUCAAGCCACCCGUUGUGGGCUCUUGGUAGAGCCCCUUAUAGGCGCCUGCCCGUGUACCCCUCUUGCCAGGCCGACCCACCAGCCUCACAGAUGCUCUGAGCCCUCCACCCUCCUUCACUGUGAGAAAGGCAGGGCCAAGGUUGAGGAUAAUGUCCCUCCUGGCCUCAUCUCAGCUGCUGCUCACUGUGUAACCUUGGACAGCACACAUCCCCUUUCUGAGCCCUCGGGUCCCAUCUGUAAAAUGGGUGUGGUAGCACCUACCUGGGAGGACAGAGCAUGUUGGUUUAAGUGGCAUGGCCAGAAAAGGGGUUGAAGUGGUAGAUGCUUUUUUAGCCUACUCCCUUAUCUCAAACAGGGAAACUGAGACCCAGGAGGGGCCGGCAGCACAGCCUGGAUGGCGGGUUCCCCUGCUGGCCCUUGGUCUGGGCUCUCUCUCUGCAUGACACUCCCCACCGCUGCAGCCCAGAGGGGAUGGAGGGGCCUCAAGGAGCCAGUCAGGCCCCAGUACUCUGGACAUCCAGGCAAAUCUUGUGACCCUGCAUCCAAUGAGUGUGGAUCACCAUGACGAAGCCAGCGAGGCGGAGAUGAGGAGAACCUCAAACUCGUACAUCGUGGAGAACGGGCACCAGCCUGGGGCAGGUGGGGGCUGAUGGCCCAGGAGGGCUGGCUGGAGGAAUACCCGCAGGGACUGGGGAAUUGUCCAAGCACUGAGCAGGGUAGAGAGUGGACUGACAGGCAACUAUUUCUUGAACUCUCUAUUAGGGAAUGUUGGAGCAGGCAUCACCUCUGGUUGGAGCAGUGAGACUUCCCCAGUAGGGGGAGAUCAGGGAGGCAGGAGUGAUCAGGGAGGCCUUCCUGGAGGAGGUCCGGGUGAUGGGCCCCCCGAAGCCGCCCAAACCAUCCCAACACCAGAGCCCCUCAAGCCUCGACCUGUGAGCCUCUCUUUGCGGCAGCCUCACCAGCCAGUCACGGCCAUCACACGAGUCUCCGAGAAGUUCUCUGGGGAGACCUCAGCCACAACUCUCUCGCCCACGUCUGCUGCCAUCCUGGGGGGCCUCAGCUCAAGCCUCAGCGAGGCCAGCACAUCCUGGACUCCCAGUCCCAGUGGUAGGAGCAGGAGACCAUGACCUCAAAAUGGGAGGGAGGUCAGGGGCUGGGGGUGGUUUGCAGGAGACUCAGAAAUCCUGGGGCCGGGCCCUACCCACUGUGCUUGUCACUGCCACCCCCGUCCCCAGCUCGCCUGCUCCAUCAGAUGGGGCCCAUCUUUCCCGGCUCGUCUCCCAGAGCUGCUGUGAAGUAGCCUCAUCCUGCGGGGUACGACCAUGGCUUUUACUGCAGAUCAAGGCUGUGGUUAGAAGGUGGCCGCCUGCCCUGCACACUUUGUGUGUAACAAACCUGGCAUGGUCCCCCUGGGGCUGUCUUGGACCUGUGAUCAGGCCCCAGGGUGUGUCCUGGGGUCGGGCUUUGUGGAUUUCCAGAAUGAGGGCUUGGUAACAUGGUAUCUACUGGAUAUGCAGCACAGGAGGUCCUGGGCUCUGUGCUCUCAAAUGCAGUGAGGAGUACUGUAAAGGACCUCUUUUAUGUCAUUGCUCUAUGUUCCAGCAUCCUUUCUCCUCAACUGUUGGCCCAGGCAGGGUCAGCUUAGCCCAGAGGUCCUGCCAGUGCCCAGAGUGAUGCUGGGUGACUAGCUCAGGGUGGGGUCAAAGGAUGGGAGGCAGGCAGUGGUGGCCCUCCCCAAGGCCAGGGUUUGUUAUUUCUCUCCCUCCCUUUGUCCCGCAGAGAAGAACUCUUCCCUCCCACGGUCUUUGUCCAGCUCUGGCUAUGGGGGGGUGACGGCCAGCAGGAACGAUAACAGGCGAGUCAGGGCCCCUGUUCCCGGUGGCAGGGUCGUCACUCCCCAGGAAGUGUCUGGCCUUGGCCUUGGACCCAGGCUACCCAGGCCCCUGCACGGAGCUCCCAGUGCCAACCCCAGGAGGAGGCACCUUCCUUGGCUUGGUGCCUCUGGAGAACUAAGGCAGCAGUGUCGCUGAGUGGGGUUUGAGAGGAGAAAUGAGGCAGCGAAGCUUGGUAGAGAGUUUUGUUUGGAGCAAUACGGCGGAGGGCUGGUUUCUUUAAGGAUCCUUCAAAGCAAGUCUGUCCAAAGAUUGGAGAGAGUUUCUCAGUCCCCACAGGAUGGAUCUUCAGCCAUCCUGGCUAGGCUCCCUCUGAGCUGGGGGCUUCCUGCUUGUGGACUGAGGAGUUACCUGGAGAGGCCCUUACCCUGGGGGAGGUCUGUGGGGGCUUCCCUGUGUUACAGGCUGCCUCCUGGCCUCCGGUUGUCCCCAUGCGCUGCCCCCAGGCCCUCUGGACUGUGAUCGGAGCUGGGUGUUGGGUGGGGGCUGGCUUGGCUUUUUUCUCCCCCUCUUAAUAAUAAAAGGAGAAUUGUGACUUUCUGACAAACUGUUUUAGGGGGGAAACAGAGGGGAUCUUAUUUAGUGGUGGCGAGGAGGGGGCCUGAUCCUGGUGGGGCUGGUUCUGGGUGCUUGUCCUGCCAGGAGGACGCCCCCGCCCACCCCAGGCAUUGACACCUGCCGAGGGGCGAUUAUGUGCAGAGAGGGGGCCCACUGCUGGCUAGGCC